ensembl:lncRNA
CAUAUUACUCAGUGCUUUUUAAUAGAAGAAAGCAGAAUUAAAACCAUCAAUUACGCAGCUGUGUUAAAAGAAACACACUUCAGAGAGGAGCUUUAGGUCUGUGCUGCAGCACAUUUAAACAGACACAGGUCACCCUGUGAUCAUGGAGGUCAAAUUAAAAACAGAAAUAAACCAAACUAGAGAACAACAACUCACAGGCUCUUCAAUGCUUUAAAAAAAGAGAAGUCUUAAAGUUGUGUUUAAAGUCCACCAGAAUACAGUAGACCUGGUUUCCGUCCCUACAACCAAACUGGAUGAAUUAUUGACCGCCGCGUUCUCCAGCUGGGACACAGGGAGGCGUCCUACAAAUCCACAACAUGGCAAAUAAUGGCCAGAGAAUCGGUUCCGCAGCUGCUGGGGCUCCUUGUUGGGAAGGUGACAGCUAUUCAGACCAACAUCUGGAUUGCUGCACACUGCAGGUUUCUGGUUGGGGCUGGAAGACGCACCGGGUCGCUGACACAAUGUGGAACAUGAUGUCUUUGGAAACCCAGCCCAGAGCGUGCCCCGGGCCCAGGCCCGUCUGCUAAUCGGACCCAGUUUGAUACGGGGCUCAGGGAGGGGGAGGUCGGCAACAUCUCCCCGCAGCUCUGACACCACUUCCUUCAUCUUUCCCCUGCUGUCGCCCCCUUCAGCCAUCACGGGCUGCUCGAGACGGCUGGAGUGAACCAAGUAUGAUGGACUGCAAGCAUCUCUACAAGCACCAGGGGGCAAAGUUUGAGUACCGACGUCCUGACGGCCAGUUCUCAGGGUGCCGAGGUCUUCAGUGGGACCAUCGCUCGUCUCAUUAUGACACACGUCUAACUCUGGUCCAGGAGGAGGUGGUAAUAAAUCAGAGUCUGGUCCAGGAGGAGGUGGUAAGAAACCAUAGUCUGGUCCCAGAGGAAUUGGUAUGGAACCAUAGUCUGGUCCCGGAGGAGGUGGUAAGAAACCAUAGUCUGGUCCCGGAGGAGGUGGUACGAAACCAUAGUCUGGUCCCGGAGGAGGUGGUAAGAAACCAUAUUCUGGUCCCGGAGGAGGUAUUAUAUUAAACCAGCACCUGGUCCAGGAGGAGGUGUAAAAAACCAGCAUCUGGUCCACGAGGAGGUAUUGUAAUAAACCAGAAUCUGGUCCAAGAGGUGUUGGUAAUAAACCAUAGUCUGGUCCAGGAGGUGUUGGUAAUAAACCAUAGUCUGGUCCAGGAGGAGGUGGUUGGAAAUCAGCCUCUGGUCCAGGAGGAGGUGGUUGGAAAUCAUAGUGUGGUCCAGGCGGAGGUGGUAAUAAAUCAUAGUAUGGUCCAGGAGGAGGUGGUAAUAAAGCAUAGUCUGGCCCAGGUGGAGGUGGUAAUAAAGCAUAGUCUGGUCCACAAGGAGGUAUUGUCAUAAACCAGCAGCUGGUCCACAAGGAGGUAUUGUAAUAAACCGGCAUCUGGUCCACAAGGAGGUAUUGUAAUAUUCCAGCAUCUGGUCCAGUAGGAGGUGGUAGGAAAUCAUAAUCUGGUCCAGGAGGAGGUGGUGAUAAAUCAUAGUCUGGUCCAGGAAGUGUUUGUAAUAAACUAUAGUCUGGUCCAGGAGGUGUUGGUAAUAAACCAUCGUCUAGUCCAGGAGGAGGUAUUGUAAUAAACCAGCAGCUGGUACAGGAGGAGGUAUUGUAAUAAACCAGCAUCUGGUCCACAAGGAGGUAUUGUAAUAAAUCAGCAUCUGGUCUAGGGGGAGGUGGCAAUAAACCAUAGUCUGGUCCAGGAGGAAGUAGUAAUAAACCAUAGUCUGGUCCAGGAAGUGUUGGUAAGAAACAAUAGUCUGGUCCAGGAAGUGUUGGUAAUAAACCAUAGUCUGGUCCAGGAGGAGGUAGUAAUAUACCAUAGUCUGGUCCAGGAAGUGUUGGUAAUAAACAAUAGUCUGGUCCAGGAGGAGGUGGUAAUAAACCAUAGUCUGGUCCAGGAGGAGGUGGUAAUAGACUAUAGUCUGGUCCAGGAGGUGUUGGUAAUAAACCAUCGUCUGGUCCAGGAGGAGGUAUGGUAAUAAACCAGCAGCUGGUCAAGGAGGAGGUGUAAAAAACCAGCAUCUGGUCCACGAGGAGGCAUUGUAAUAAACCAGCAUCUGGUUUAGGAGGUGUUGAGACCACACUGGUUUGCAGCAGGGCAGAUGGACCAGGCUCAUCUGUUGCUCCACACUGGUUCUGCCCUUGGCCAAGGUCAUCAAAGGAACACAUGCUGCAGCAGCUGUGGGUCUUUGUCUGUAACGCCUGGUACCGAGCCCUCUUUACAACACGCACCUCCUCUACUUCCUUAACGUCGCGUUGCGGUUCUGGAUCGACCUUUGGCCUCUGCUGGUCACCCGACGCCUCAUUCACCACGAAGGCAACGGACGGUGGCCCAACGAGAGUUGACCGGACCGGUUUGGACCCAUCUGGAGCGGUUUGCUCUCCGCCUGCGAUCAGUCUGGGCAGCGCCAUACGAGGAUCUGAUUCAAGGGUG